GACGAACGCUGGCGGCGUGCUUAACACAUGCAAGUCGAACGGAAAGGCCCUGCUUUUGUGGGGUGCUCGAGUGGCGAACGGGUGAGUAACACGUGAGUAACCUGCCCUUGACUUUGGGAUAACUUCAGGAAACUGGGGCUAAUACCGGAUAGGAGCUCCUGCUGCUUGGUGGGGGUUGGAAAGUUUCGGCGGUUGGGGAUGGACUCGCCGCUUAUCAGCUUGUUGGUGGGGUAGUGGCUUACCAAGGCUUUGACGGGUAGCCGGCCUGCGAGGGUGACAGGCCACAUUGGGACUGAGAUGCGGCCCAGACUCCUAUGGGAGGCAGCAGUGGGGAAUAGUGCACAAUGGGCGGAAGGCUGAUGCAGCAAAGCCGCGUGCGGGAUGACGGCCUUCGGGUUGUAAACCGCUUUCGCCUGUGACGAAGCGUGAGUGACGGUAAUGGGUAAAGAAGCACCGGCUAACUACGUG
rnacentral:rRNA from 1 species